GUAAACGGCGGGAGUAAC
rnacentral:ncRNA from 3 species